rnacentral:sRNA from 1 species
GCUGGUGUGGUGGCGCACACCUGUAAUCCCAGUGACUCUGGAGGCUGAGGCAGGAGGAUCAAAAGUCAGAGGACGGCCUCAGCAACUUAGCAAGGCCCUAAACAACUUAGUGAGACCCCGUCUCAA